rnacentral:rRNA from 1 species
UACGGGGGGAGCAAGCGUUGUUCGGAUUUACUGGGCGUAAAGGGCGCGUAGGCGGCCUCUGCAAGUCGAUUGUGAAAUCUCCGGGCUUAACCCGGAAAGGUCAGCCGAUACUGCAGGGCUAGAGUGCAGAAGGGGCAACUGGAAUUCUCGGUGUAGCGGUGAAAUGCGUAGAUAUCGAGAGGAACACCUGCGGCGAAGGCGGGUUGCUGGGCUGACACUGACGCUGAGGCGCGAAAGCUAGGGGAGCGAACGGG